AGGAUCUUCACCAUGCCGUCUGUGUCAGCGUUGGUUUUGGCUCGACUGUUGGCUGCGAAAGGGAAUUUGCCAACUUUGUACGGGACGUUCUGUAGAGAAGGAGCAGAGUCAGAGCGGGUUUCACCUGGAAGCUUUGAACCCCACAUGCUGGAACCCAUGACUCCUGACUCGCCUCGUCUUUGAGCUGCUCCUCUGUCUUGCCCACCCAGGCCACCUCGGGGUGCGUGUAGAUCACGGAGGGAACACAGUUGUAGUCUAUGUGCACAGCACCACCAGCCAUGCCCUCCACGCAGAUGAUGCCCUCGUCCUCGGCCUUGUGGGCCAACAUAGGCCCUGCGACAACAUCACCGAUGGCAUAAAUACUGAAACAGGAGUAGGAACAAAUAAGGAAAUGCCAACAAAGCACUGUAUUUACAUUUGCAAGCCGGACUCAGUGGUACCUGGGUACUUUGGUCUGGAAGCGAUUGUUGACAGGUAUGCGGCCCCUGUUGUCCAGCUCGAUGCCCACAGAAUUCAAACCCAGGUUCUCUGUGAAAGGUCGUCUGCCGAUGCAGACCAGCAGGACGUCACAGGUCAGGGUCUCAUUUUUCCCUCCAGCUGCUGCCUCGACACUGAAACAAGUCAACACACACAGUUACAAACUGCUUACAUGAGCCUGGUUCUGUUGGGUCUCUGGAUCCUUGGCUUCAUAUUAAACACCCUGAUAAAUCUGUAUUUUAAAUUCUAUCAUCAUUGUAUCAUUAUCAUCAUCUGGCUCUGUUAACGCUGGUUAAGUAUUCCACCUUGAGCAUCUUUAUGUGUAACAGGCAUCUAAAAAAUCUGGCUGUAAUUUAUAAUCCAGAAAUGGAAAUUUGUAGUCAGUUUAUGUUUUAUUUUUUUUCACUUCAGGUCACUGAACUUUAACACCAGACUCCAAUAUCCCAAAGGAACAUUAAGAUUUGCGAGUAAUUUACUCACGCCACAUCAAUCUUGCCGUCGGGCCUCUUUACGGCUCCCAACACUUUAGUGCCGAGCUUGAACUUCAGGCCCUGCUUCUGCAGGAUGCGCUGGAAGUUCUUGGAGACCUCCAUGUCAAUGCCCAUGCCACCAACGUGUCCCAAGAACUCUACCGCUGUCACAUUAGACCCAAGCCGCUGCCACACUGACCCCUGCAGGAUGGAAGGAUCAGAACCAAGGCUUAGAACUGUCUGACAAAACAACAAACUCAGGUGCAAAAAGACUGACAGGUCAUAAAUGACUAUCAAACAUUUAAAGUUUUGUAAAUUACGCUGACCAGCUCUACUCCAAUGACUCCAGCGCCAAUAACGAUCAGCUCCUCUGGAACUUUCUUUAGAGACAAAGCUCCUGUCGAUGAAACAACCGUCUCCUCAUCAAUCUACAAAAAAAAAAAAAAAAAACAUUUCCGUUGAUUGUAGCAACAUGUAUCCAACUUGAUGUGAAGAACAGAUAAGAGUCUCACAACUACAAAAGAAAAUAAAACCCAGCUGUACCUGAAUCCCGGGGAAAGGCGUGACCUCAGAGCCGGUGGCAAUGAGGAUGUUCUUGGUGUUGAUCACCUGCUCGCUGCCGUCUGCUGCUGUGGCGGUCACCUGGUUCUUCCCAGUCACUCUCCCAAAACCACUGACAUGGGUCACCUGAACAGAGACGACUUCCAAUUACCACCAUACCAGCGGUGUGACUAGAUGUGACAUAACAAUAAAGAGGGAAAAAGUG